GGGGUAGUACUGGUUUCGACGGGGGUUUAGAAAUUAGGGCAGCCAUCCGUGGAGGGUGACCACGUAAAAACAUUCAAUAAAUAUAAACGCUAACGAUAGAGUAGCACUCGCUGCCUAAGUGCAGCUGUCAGCCUGGCGUCGUCCGUUGCGCAAGUGUCUGGCAUCAAAUAGACGGAGCACUUCCGGACCAAAGCUUGUAGGUCAGGGAAGAAUAACAAGCUACUGAAAUCGUAAGCCUGUGAGUGGGCGUGCGUCGUAGGGAAUGAUAAAUCACUUACUGUGAUGGGAGAUACCGUAAUGGAAGAGCUUUCGGACGCGGGUUCGAUUCCCGCCUGCUCCAU
rnacentral:tmRNA from 1 species